rnacentral:lncRNA from 1 species
CUAACUUGCAUACGCUAUUUUUUUAGUUGGUACAUUUUAGCAAUGUGUACUAGGUUUUAGUAGACAAAAAUACCGUCAUAUAUUAUGGAUUCUAAGUUUUAAGGUUAAGAGUAUUUGAAUAAUUUUAAUUCUAAAAAAAAAAAGAAACCCUCAAACCCUUACUCACCUCCCUCAUUCCUCUCAACCCUUUCUCUUUCAUCUCUCUCACUCAGACAUUUUCUCUGACAUCCCUACGGUAGCCCCAACUUUUAGAAACACUCGCUUAACCUUAAUCUACCUUCCUUACUUAUGCAAUUUGUUUCUCUCUCAUCUCCAUAUCCUCUCCCACUCACCCAUAACAGCAUGCGACACCGCAAUUUGUUACUCUUGUGGUUCAUUCAUUUAUUUACCAUUUUAAUAAUAAAAUAAUUAAUGAUGUUGAUGUUGAUUUUUGAUUGGAGAGUUA